rnacentral:misc_RNA from 1 species
GUACCCUCAAGCUCUGCUUGGUGUUGGGUGUUUGUCCUGCCUUGCGUAUGGACUCGCCUUAAAGUUAUUGGCAGCCGGCGUAUUGUCCGUGGAGCGUAGCACAUUUUACGCGCCUGGUAUCAAAUCGUUGGCGUCCAUAAAGCCUAACUUAUCAC